rnacentral:rRNA from 1 species
CCUACACAUGCAAGUCGAGCGGAAACGAGUUAUCUGAACCUUCGGGGGAACGAUAACGGCGUCGAGCGGCGGACGGGUGAGUAAUGCCUAGGAAAUUGCCCUGAUGUGGGGGAUAACCAUUGGAAACGAUGGCUAAUACCGCAUGAUGCCUACGGGCCAAAGAGGGGGACCUUCGGGCCUCUCGCGUCAGGAUAUGCCUAGGUGGGAUUAGCUAGUUGGUGAGGUAAGGGCUCACCAAGGCGACGAUCCCUAGCUGGUCUGAGAGGAUGAUCAGCCACACUGGAACUGAGACACGGUCCAGACUCCUACGGGAGGCAGCAGUGGGGAAUAUUGCACAAUGGGCGCAAGCCUGAUGCAGCCAUGCCGCGUGUGUGAAGAAGGCCUUCGGGUUGUAAAGCACUUUCAGUCGUGAGGAAGGUGGUGUAGUUAAUAGCUGCAUUAUUUGACGUUAGCGACAGAAGAAGCACCGGCUAACUCCGUGCCAGCAGCCGCGGUAAUACGGAGGGUGCGAGCGUUAAUCGGAAUUACUGGGCGUAAAGCGCAUGCAGGUGGUUUGUUAAGUCAGAUGUGAAAGCCCGGGGCUCAACCUCGGAAUAGCAUUUGAAACUGGCAGACUAGAGUACUGUAGAGGGGGGUAGAAUUUCAGGUGUAGCGGUGAAAUGCGUAGAGAUCUGAAGGAAUACCGGUGGCGAAGGCGGCCCCCUGGACAGAUACUGACACUCAGAUGCGAAAGCGUGGGGAGCAAACAGGAUUAGAUACCCUGGUAGUCCACGCCGUAAACGAUGUCUACUUGGAGGUUGUGGCCUUGAGCCGUGGCUUUCGGAGCUAACGCGUUAAGUAGACCGCCUGGGGAGUACGGUCGCAAGAUUAAAACUCAAAUGAAUUGACGGGGGGCCCGCACAAGCGGUGGAGCAUGUGG